GCCCGCUUGGCUCAUCGGUAGAGCGCCUCACUAGUAAUGAGGAGGUAAUUGGUUCGACUCCAGUAGUGGGCA
rnacentral:tRNA from 1 species